GAUUCCGCCCAAAUUGAUUUUUUUUUUCUCACCGCCCGCGACGCUUACCCGCCCGCAUGUACCCACGCAAAAAUCACGGCUCCUCGAGGGCGGUUCCCACCGGCGAAUCUGGGGGCGGCCGGCCUGGGGGCAGCGAGCCGCCGCCGUAUCUCGGGGCGGCCGGUCUCGGGCGCCGCCGCCCUUGGUCCAGUGCGAGCCUGGGGAGCGCCGUCGAUCCACAACCAUCCUGCCGCGAAUCCCGCUGCCGGCGCGCGGAUCCGUGCUCACCCCACCGGGAUUCCUGCGAUUGCGGAUGCUAGCGCCGCGGACGCCCCCGACACCAGCCACGAUUCCCUCGCCCAAAACAGAUCUCCUCCGCCCUGGUGCAGACGCAUCCUAGCUCCCGCUCCUGCGCCGGCGGCAUGAGUGACCAAGUAAAAGGAGCUAGCGGCCUGAUGCUCGUGCGCCGGCGGCCUGCUCCUUCUUCCGCUUCAGCUCCUCCCAACUGUCGUCGCUCGAGACUCCGCCAGCGACUUUGGCCGCACAGACCUCGCCGGUGCGUGGUUGAGGCGGCGGCGCCUUGGAACAACGAAUGCUUCAUGCUUAUGCUAUGCAAUCCUGAACAAAGCAUCCUGCAUAGCAAUCCUUGGAACAAAGCUUAUGUUAUGAUAGAACUUGGUGUUGCUUCCUAACAUCUCCUGGCAUGGACAACAUCAACCCAGAGGACAAGCAGGCUAUAAUACAUACUUUGGAAGAAGCUAGGAGGUGCCAGAGGCUGGUGCUUUGGCUUGAUUUUAAUAGAGAGGGUGAGAACAUAGCAUAUGAAGUGAUCGGAGUUUGUACAGGUUCUAUUCUUCAUAAACAUGUGGGAAUCAGACAAAUCAUAUUAAUUCGUUUUCAAGUUAUGAUUCAAGUAUUGAUACAAAGGUAAGGCUGAACUUUGGCUUCAAAGCAAGUGCUGUACUGCAUGGAGAACAUACAUACAUGGAACCCUGAAUCGAGUUCAGUCUUAGAAGUAUAUAGAAUCCAUGUUUAAUUCACUUCAGUUUAUAUGGAAGACCUCUGUUCUUAAGGCGUUGCCUAGGCGUCGCCUAGGCGACAAGGCGCAAUUGGCAACCUGGGCGUUUGCUUCGCCUUGGCCGACUGCGUAUGGCGUCCGCCUUGCGCCGAAGGCGUCGUCUAGGUGUCUAUAGGCGUCGCCUGGGCGUCCAAUUGGAUGAGGCGGGCGCCAUACGUGAGGCCCCAGGCGGGAAAGAGGGGAGGCGAGCGGGAACAGAUCGAGCGGUGGGAAAUCGAGCGGGAAAAGACCGAGCGGCGGGAAAUCGAGUGGGAAAUAGAGGCCGGCCACCAACAAAGCUUGCAAUCGACGCAAUUUGGGAGGGAAACAGGGAGAGCUGACCUGUGGAUAGGGUUGGAAGAGAAGAGGGCGGCGCCUGGAGCUUGGGUCGCGGCAGCCGGCGGCGCAUCCUCGGCGGCGCCUGGAGCUUGGGUCGCGGCAGCCGGCGGCGCAUCCUCGGCCCAUCCGCCCCUGGCCCCUUCGCCCUUCCACUGCUGCUUUUCUGCCCUCUGCUUCUCUACCGGCCACAGCCCCUCUGCUUCUCCACCGCCCCUCCAGCGCUGCCCCUCCGCCCCUGCAGCGCUGCCCCUCUGAUCUGUGGAGAGCGACGCUUGGAGCCUAGAGCUGGUCCGCUAGGAUUUCUCUACUGGUCGCCUGGUCCACGACGGCCUUGCUGGUCCACGACGCCAGCCCUCUCCUAUGGCCAGCCAUCAAGCCAACAACACAAUGGAGAGUCCAGCUUCUGUGGCAGCAGAGUAUGAUCCCAAGACUGAUCCAAAACGAAGACCAGCAAAGUCAAAUGAUCCGGGCUGGGAGUAUGGGUACUGGGCAGACCCUAAGGAUCGAGAUAAGGUGACAUCUUGCUACUUGGGAGAAGAGAAUGGAUGGAAAGAGCAGCAGCAAAGGGGAGAAUGGGUGCUACAACAGCUCAACAAAGAACCCAAAGGUCAUCGAGAAUGCUGAAGGGACAAGAACAACGCCAUCUGUUGUUGCUUUCAAUCAGAAGGGUGAUCGCCUUGCUGGGACUCCAGUAAAGCGUCAGGCAAUAAUAAAUCCCUAGAAUACUUUCUUUGGAACAAAGCGGCUGAUUGUCGGCAAUGCUCUGCGCAGUCUGUUCAUGCACAAAGAUUGAAAAUCCAUCACGAGCUGCACGCCUGCUUUUUUAUUGACAGGACCAAGCGGAUGCAUGAUAUGCGCAGUGAACUAUUUGUAAUGGUUUGACAGGAUCAAUAUACAUUGUAUCUUUUCAUGUGAAAUACACAUAGAUGUUUUAAAAAAUAUGCAAUGUGAUGGCUGUUUUCAAAAAA